UACGUAGGGUGCAAGCGUUGUCCGGAAUUAUUGGGCGUAAAGAGCUCGUAGGCGGUUUGUCGCGUCUGGUGUGAAAAUCCAGGGCUUAACCCUGGACCUGCAUCGGGUACGGGCAGACUAGAGUGCGGUAGGGGAGAUCGGAAUCCUGGCGUAGCGGUGAAAUGCGCAGAUAUCAGGAGGAACACCGGUGGCGAAGGCGGAUCUCUGGGCCGUAACUGACGCUGAGGAGCGAAAGCAUGGGGAGCGAACAGG
rnacentral:rRNA from 1 species